CCUACGGGAGGCAGCAGUGAGGAAUAUUGGUCAAUGGACGCAAGUCUGAACCAGCCAUGCCGCGUGAAGGAGGACUGCUCUAUGGGUUGUAAACUUCUUUUAUAAAGGAAUAAAACUGAGUACGUGUACACAGCUGAACGUACUAUAUGAAUAAGGAUCGGCUAAUUCCGUGCCAGCAGCCGCGGUAAUACGGAGGAUCCGAGCGUUAUCCGGAUUGAUUGGGGUUAAAGGGAGCGUAGGUGGAUGGUUAAGUUAGAUGUGAAAUUUUGAGGCUCAACCGGAGAAGUGCAGUUGAGACUGGCAGUCUUGAGUACAGUAGAGGUGGGCGGAAUGCGUGGUGUAGCGGUGAAAUGCUUAGAGAUCACGAAGAACUCCGAUGGCGAAGGCGGCUCACUGGACUGCAACUGACGUUGAGGCUCGAAAGUGUGGGUAGCAAACAGGAUUAGAGACCCUUGUAGUC
rnacentral:rRNA from 1 species